CUCAUAGAGCUCAAUAUCAAAAAAAAAUCAAAAAAUAGGUGGAAGAUCUAAAUAGACAUUUCUCCAAAGAAGACAUAUAGUUGGCCAAAAAGCAUAUGAAAAGAUGCUCAACAUCACGAAUUAUUAGAGAAAUGCAAAUCAAAACUACAAUGAGAUAUCACCUCACACCAGGAAGAAUGGCCAUCAUCAAAAAAUCUACAAACAAAUACAUGCUGGAGAGGGUGUGGAGCAAAGGGAACCCUCUUACACUGUUGGUGGGAAGGUAAAUUGGUGCAGCCACUAUGGAGAACAGUAUGGAGGUUCCUUAAAAAACUAAAAAUAGAAUUACCAUACGACCCAGCAAUCCCACUCCUGGGCGUAUAUCUGGAGAAAAGUGUAAUUUGAAAAGAUACACACACCCCAAUGUUCAUUGCAGCACUAUUUACAAUAGCCAGGACAUGGAGGCAACCAAAAUGUCCAUCAACAGAGGAAUGGUUAAAGAUGUGGUACAUAUAUACAAUGGAAUAUUACUCAGCCGUAAAAAAGAAUGAAAUAGUGCCACUUGCAGCAACAUAGAUGGACCUAGAGAUUGUCAUACCGAAUGAAGUAAGUCAGACAGAGAAAGACAAAUAUAUGAUAUCCCUUGUAUGUGGAAUCUAAAAAGAGGGGUACAAAUGAACUUAUUUACAAAACAGAAAUAGAGUCACAGAUGUAGGAAACAAACAUGGUUACCAAAGGGGAAAGGAGGGGGAUAAAUUGGGAGAUUGGGAUUGACAUAUACACACUACUAUAUAUAAAAUAGAUAACUAAUAAGAACCUACUGUAUAGCACAGGGAACUCUAUUCAGUGAUCUGUAAUGACCUAUAUGGGAAAAGAAUCUAAAAAAGAAUGGAUGUAUAUAUGAGUGCAACUGAUUUACUUUGCUGUAAAGCAGAAACUAACACAACAUUCUAAAUCAACUAUACUCCAAUAAAAAUUAAUUUAAAAUAAUUUUAAAAACCCAUGGCUCAAGCACACACCAACUACCAUAAACCCUCCCUUCCCAGACUGGAGCUUAAGGAAGAUGGGAAUGCCUUUUUCCAUUUCCUUUAAUAUCUAUCAAACAUUGGACAUUAAUGAAUUUAUUUCCUCAUUGCCUUUGAUCUUUGUUUUAACCAAGUUCAGCAGGUGGCAGAGGGACUUGUGAAUCUUUGCUGUAACUGUCCGCCAUUGGUCCCUCUUAGGAAGAUCCUGCUAUGAUUGCUGCUGGGGCUUUUUGUUGUUGCUGUUAAUUUAGGACAGCUUAUAAAACAAGAUAAGUCUAGUUUCCGUUUCUAGAAUGAUUCUUUCCUUAGAAGUACUUAUCUUAAAAGGAUUCAUUGAGGAGCCCCCAUGAAGAUAUCUUUAAUUUUUCCUAGUGAAAGUAUUUUUUGUUUUGCUAAAUACAUGGUAUUAUUUAGAGUUUCUUGUAAAUUAAUCCUAAAAGUACUUGGGAAUUUGCUGCAAACCAGUGUUCCUUCAAUGAUGAGUCAAAUAGUUACUAUUAGAGGGCUGGAAGGUGACCCUUCCUGAACCUGUUUUUCAAGAUAUAGCAGCAGAGUUGUUUGCAACACUAUCAGAUUUCUUUUUUCUGAAGUAUACUGCUUUCAUGUUACCAAACUUUUUUCUCCUCAAUCUUCUCUUCAAAUGUCAGUUUUGUCUCAGGAAGUGACUUCCCCAUUCAGCUAAUAAAGUGUCUGCUCUUCCAUAUUUAUCGGGGAAUGAAUGACGAGUGUCCCCACCGGCACAAUGCCUGGCGUGUCGAAGGUACACAAUAAGUGUUUUGUUUUAAUGGAAAACACUAAGGAAAUGUUUCAUAAUGUUGCAUCACAAUGAUAAUUUCAACAAUAUGCAUUCAUUCCAACUGAAUAAAGGUAAGAAUUUUUCCUACAAUGUGGCUCUACUGCCAGCCAACCCCUGCAUCUGCAGCCCAGCCCAAGGAACAACCUAUUCCAAUCCUGGAGGUAAAAUCGGCUUUAUUAGGAUUUUACUUUGUAAGCAACUUAAGAGAUUUUCAACAGUAAAUUUGAUUAUAAGGAGUUUUACCUUACAAGUUAUUCAAGUACAUAAUCCCUAGGAGAAUCUGCUUUAACUGGCUUUAAAUAUACUAAGUAUUAUCAUGCAUACAAAUGACUACUUAUUCUGUGAAACCAUAAAAAGCAAGAGAAUAGGGAGAUGAAGUUUAUUUCAGCUUAGAGAACUUUCUAAUAAUCAUUUUGAACAUGCCGUGGACUGUCGCAUAAGGUAGAACACUCAGCCUUUGGAAAUAUUUGGUCAGGGGUUGCAUGAGGACCUGAAAAGCUAAAACAGAUCGUUUUAAAGCACCCCUGUGACUGAUGCAGUAUUGAGAAACAUUGCUCUAGGCCUUCCACUCUGACCAAAGUUUCAGCCCAAAUUUGGCUGACUUAGAAUGAAGUUUAAUAGUAAAGUAGGAUCGUAAAAGUUUGUUGUUUUUUUGUAAACCAAACUUUACACCGCUCUGAUCAAAGAACCUGGAAGCGCCUGUUAGAAUAUUCUUCUGGGUCUCUAAGAAACUUUGAGCUAAAUACUCUAGAAAGAUAAUUGAGAAUCCUUGACAUUUGUCCAGAAGUUUCCAACAUUGAUGAAUGUGAUCUUCAAGUUUUGUCUUCAUCCGUUCGGCCUGCUGAAACAGAAUCCCAUAGACUAGGUGGCUUGUAAACAAUAGUUACAAGUUGAGCUUGUUUUUCACAGUCAUGGAAGCCGGGGGCACAAGAUCAAGGCCCCGGCAAAUUUGGUGUCCAGUGAGGGCCCGCUUCCUGGUUCACAGAUGGCCGGCUGUUCCCUGUGUCCUCCCGCUGUCGCGUCAGAGGGUCUCUGGUAAGGGCACUAAUCCCGUCAUUAGAUGAAGCCCUCCAAAAGGCCCCACUCUCUCACACCAUCAGCUUGGGGUUUGGGUCUCAGCACGAAUUCUGGGGGACACAAACCUUCAGUCCAUGACGAGCUUGCAUUCACCAGGCAGUUACUUAGUUGCAGUCAGCAGUUCUAUGCCCUGCUGCAGGCUGAGUCAGCACCGAGGGGAUUGAAAGCUGGCCAAGGGUGUUCUUCGGCUGUAAACACCGUCAGUUCUCCCAGGAGGCAGGCUGUGUACGCCAGGCAAGGUUUUAAGCACUUUAUGAAAAGUAAGCUGUUUAAUUCUCCCACCUCCCCCCGCCCCAAAUCUAGCAUCUACGUUUCGUGAUGAGGAGUCCAUGACAGAAACUGGCUGUUUGCCCAAGUUCACAAAGCGAGUUGGCAGCAGAGCCUGGCCUUGAACUCAGGCAGCUGGGUGCCAGGCCGCACAGGGACCACGAGCUGUGCCACUUCUCUGGGAGCACAGAAGGCAAUGCUACCACCCUGUGAUGCAGAGAACGCACUGUCCCUGUGGAAGAAGAGACCAGACAAACCGCAGACAAGCACGAAUGGGCGAGACAGAUUGGACUUGCACAUUUAAUAUUGUUUCCGCACAGGAAAAGAAUAGAACUGGACUUUUGGGUGUUUGGUCCUUUCCAUCUCACCUAGGGUAAAAUUCAUCUGUGGUGGGAAAGAACAUCUCCUUAGCUCCCAGUGGUGGAGUUGCUAAAAUGUGCGGUGUGUGGUUACGUUUCUCUCUUUCCUCUCCAACCUCCACCGACUUGUCUGAGCACUUGAGCUCUAGUGGAAGGGCCCAUUCUGCAUAAUCCUGGGAUUAUAGGUAGACCUGGAGGAGAACCACCAACACGGCAACCACUUUCCUUACCAUAAAUUUCUAAAUUUGUAACCCACUAAUUCCGAAUUUUGAAAUCUCAUUUUGGAAUAGGCAGACGCUUGCCUUUGCUCUACUACAAAGGGUGAUGAUUGAAGAUGGUUGAAUGUCUUUAAGAACAUAAUCUUUUUUUUUUGAAGUUAAUUUUCUCUCUUUUUUAAAAUAGAUUUAUUUAAUUAAUUAAUUUAGGUUUUUGGCUGCCUUGGGUCUUUGUUGCUGCACGCUGGCGGCGAGCUGGGGCUACUCUUCCUGGCUGUGCGCGGGCUUCUUAUUGCGGUGGCUUCUCAUGUUGCAGAGCACGGGCUCUAGAGCGCAGGCUUCAGUAGUUGUGGCUUGAGGGCUCUAGAGUGCAGGCUCUGUAGUUGUGGCGCACGGGCUUAGUUGCUCCACGGCCUGUGGGAUCUUCCCGGACCAGGGCUCGAACGGGUGCCCCUGCGUUGGCAGGCGGAUUCUUAACCACUGUGCCACCAGGGAAGUCCCAAGGACAGAAUCUUUAAGGAUAUUUGCUCAUUGCUUGCAAACUACUCUUAAAAAAUGUUACUCGCUACAACUUUGAUACCCAAUUAACUAUGCAUGAACUUCAAAUGAAUAAAAAUGCCUUGUUUUAAUUUACUUACUAUUUUUAUAUUUUAAAAAGUGUAUGCUCAUGGACAGUUAGAAGAAGAAAGGGCGGAAAGUAAAGACUACUCAUUUCUCCGCCAUUUGCAUCUCCGUGUUAACUCCAGCUAACGGUUCCUUCUAUACUUCUGGGUAUUGGACUUUUCUUUAAUUCAGGCUGGCCUCUCUCCUUGAUUUAAAAUGAUUUACCCAGUUUCUGCUGGGUUAUAUGGAAUGCAGACAUUGAAGAAGUGAGAAAAAGCUGGUAUUGCGCUUCCCGCCCCGGGGCGCCCUUGCAGCGGGAGGCGUGCGCACGCCCGCCCCAGGGCUUCCGCCACCGCCGCCCGCGCCGGCUUCCGGUCUCCUGUCUCCCUUCCAGCCCUUCGCUGCCCACAGCAGGCCCUCUCCAGGCCCGGCACCCUUCUCCGAGAUGCGCAGGCAGCGGGGUCGCUUCCUGCCGCUGCCCAUUCCCUGCCUCCGUCCCCAACCCUGACCAGUUGACAGUUUGCCGCUGCGCGCCCCCCGCUCCCGGGGCCCUGGUUUUCUGGACCCUGUCUGUUCCCAAAAGCAGGUGUCUUAGUCUCGCCCAGCCACCCUGAACGUGCUUCCUCUCAGGAGCUGUUUAAAGACUGAGGAAUGAACGGCUCUUCUGGCCGCCUGGCCCUCCCGCCAUCUAUACUUUGCCCACAGCUUUCGGAUCUCCAAGAAGGGUGCAUCUGGAGCUGCUUUUCCUCAGACCUGUGCUGAGUGGCGCUGGUGGAGAGCUGCUAGGAGAAGAGUCCUAGUGAUCAAGGUUCCUGAAAAUGGUGCUUGAAAUGCAUCACAGGGGUUCAGUGUUUAAAGAUGCUUCUGCGCAGCCUGCUGGACCAGCACGGAAGGGACUGUGGCUGCACUCAGACCCUCUCCAGGGCCUCCCUCGAGGACAGCGUGGAGAGAGACCUUCCCAGUGGACGGAACUGUGGGCACCUUGCCCAGCUGGAGAGAGAGCCGGAGGUAAGGAUCUGCACUGGUUCGUAGAUGGCAGCUCAUGGCUUGGCUGGUUGGUUGGGGGCUCUGACAGGGAGCCUGGGGAGUGGGCAGAGCACGGUGAUGUCUGUGUCCCCUGUGAGAGCUUCCAAUGGCAUCCACUACAGAGGAGGCUUUCAGAAGUCAGGUGAACAAGAUGACGUUAGUGUGUGAAUGUUAGCUCCCCACGCCCCCACUUGCUCGGUGGCCCCCUGUGCAAAGUGGUCAUAGCGACAGGGGUGAAGCCUGUGCGUAUGGACAAGCCCUCCCCAAGGCUGGUCUGGCCACUGCUGUUGCUGAGCGCCCAGCCUGCUGGUGGCAGAGCCCACGCUUCUUCCCCGAAAGGGCGCUGCUUCCAAGAGGGGGUGGUGACGGGCCAACUACGUGGUCGUGGGUUGGUUGCAUUGGACCCCUUUCCUCCAUGGACAGGGCGGCAGUUUGUCACUACAACAGACAACUGUUCCGGCUGUGGACUUGCUUUCCCUGCCUGCGCUGCUUCUGCUAACCCCACUAUUCUUGGAUUCAAAGAAUGUUCUGUUUACCAUCAUGAUAAAUGUUC